rnacentral:rRNA from 1 species
GAUGAACGCUGGCGGCGUGCUUAACACAUGCAAGUCGAACGAUGAAAGCGGGAGCUUGCUCCUGCUGGAUUAGUGGCGAACGGGUGAGUAACACGUGAGCAAUCUGCCCCGAACUCUGGGAUAAGCGUUGGAAACAACGUCUAAUACCGGAUACGACGCGCGAAGGCAUCUUCUGCGCGUGGAAAGAACUUCGGUUCGGGAUGAGCUCGCGGCCUAUCAGCUAGUGGGUGAGGUAACGGCCCACCAAGGCGACGACGGGUAGCCGGCCGGAGAGGGUGACCGGCCACACUGGGACUGAGACACGGCCCAGACUCCUACGGGAGGCAGCAGUGGGGAGUAUUGCACAAUGGGCGCAAGCCUGAUGCAGCAACGCCGCGUGAGGGACGACGGCCUUCGGGUUGUAAACCUCUUUUAGUAGGGAAGAAGCGAAAGUGACGGUACCUGCAGAAAAAGCACCGGCUAACUACGUGCCAGCCGCCGCAGUAAAAC